rnacentral:rRNA from 1 species
CACCGGCGGCUCGAGUGGUGGCCACUUUUAUUGGGUCUAAAGCGUCCGUAGCCGGCUUGGCAAGUCCCCUGGGAGAUCUGGCGGCUUAACCGUCAGGCGUCCAGAGGAUACUGCCAGGCUUGGGACCGGGAGAGGUGAGAGGUACCUCAGGGGUAGGGGUGAAAUCUUGUGAUCCCUGAGGGACCACCAGUGGCGAAGGCGUCUCACUAGAACGGGUCCGACGGUCAGGGACGAAAGCGUGGGGAGCAAACCGG